rnacentral:lncRNA from 1 species
UAUUAAUUUAUGAAAUUAUUAAUUUAGCUAAUUAUUAACCCAAGUCGUGACUGUUGACUCUAAAAAAAUUGUUAUAUAGUAGGGGUUGCUAAUUUAUUGAAUAUUAAUUUAUAUAUUUCAUGUUGCAAGGACGAUGAUUUAUCAUCUCACUUGAAAAUCAAUUAUUGCCAAUAAAGGUCAAAGUAUUGAACACUUAGAUGCCUCAGCCUUGGCUAUCCAAUAAAUAAAUUUAGAACGUUUUGUGACAUUUGAAACAUGUAUUGAUUUAAUGGUAACUAGUCGCGUAGAGUCGCAGCUAGACACAUCAAAAUUGUUGAUUCCUACCGGCAGCGUAUGCAUUACCAUCACCUCUAAUUGACACAAAGAAAAAGAAAAUAUUAUUUUACUCAUUUGUAUAAUUCGUUUAAGUUUUUGGGCAAUUUAUGUGGAUUUAAUCAAAUUCUAAACGAAUCCUAUCUCUAACUGAUCAAAAUAGCUUGGAUUAUGCUAUUAUAUGGUUCCAUAAUUUAUAGGGUAUACUAACCACACGUUUAGAUCUCUCAAAAUUUCAAUUUGAAUCUUAUAAGUAUAUAUCAUUUUUCUGAAAAUGAAGAAGUUGUACCUUUCCAUAUUUGGAUUGUGAUGAUGACUCUGAUAUAGAGUUAGAAUUCAUGCCCAAGAGUUAUAGGGUGCGUUUGGGAUUGAGGUGCUGUACCUUUUAAGCUACAGCUGCUGUGAAAAAAAAACUGUAAUUAUG